GCCCCCUUGCCCACUUUCUCUUACCUUAACGAAAACUCUGGUGCUCCAUUUCAAACUCUUUCCUCUCAACUGGCCUAUUUACCUGUUACCACAUUAUCUACCCAUUCCCCUGACAAUACCCACUCCAGCUCCCUCUCCUUAUAAAUGUCCUGCCUAAACCUUAACUGCCACUGCUCGGAUCAACAGAACUGGAACGAAUAUAACAAACUAUUUUCCUUGUUACCUUCUCACUUCCCACUUGUUGCCUUCUCACCCCACUUCCCUUCCCCUCUCUGCUUCUAUUUGGACUGAUGGAGGUGCAUUCUAAUGCCUGUGACCUGUGCAGCUAAAGGCGUGGUUGCCAAUGAAGGAACAACUGCAGUACUGAAACGGCUCCAGCACAAAUGUGACAUUUGGGCAAAAUGAUUCUCCCUCAACGUGGUUCAAGAAGUUAGCAAUUCACAAACGUCUGUGAGGACAGGAAGAGGCAUAGAGGUAACAUUCUACAAAUGUGACUUAUUGGUGUUCCAGGGAUGAGUGUAGCAUCAGGGAGAUGGCAUCAGCCAUGGACCUGUUGCAGCGGUAGGUGAACUGCAGUGGGUCAAUGCUGAUUGGUAGACUGGAUGCAUUCCAGAGCCAGCCUCCAAAAGCAUGGAUGGAUGUCUGCUGUAUGGUGGUCAUUAAGGCAUGAGAUCUUGCUUUUCUUUGUCAUUGGGAUGAUAGUGGUCUUCCUGAAGCAGGUGAGAACGCAGUAGGGAGAGAUGAAAGAAAUCCAAGAAUACUCCCGCAGUAUGGCCCACGCAGUUUCUAAGGAUACAGCCAGUUGCUUUCACCCUCAGGAAGGCCAAGCUAACUUCAACAACAUUGACCAUGGGAAGAGGCAUAGUUGAGUCUGAUUGGAUAGAUGUCAUCACUCAUCACCCUGUUGACCUUCUGCUCAAAGGGAGCAUAGAAAACAUUAUGUUCAUCAGGUGGAGCCACAGUAUCACCAGUGAUGUUGCCUGAUGUAACUCUGUAGCUAGUUUCGGUAUUCAGACCUUGCCACAUUCUGCAGGUAUCUGAAUUAUUAUAUUGGGACUCAAGUUUGUCCUGGUAUUGUCUCUUGACAUCCUUGAUGACUUAGUGAAAAUUAUAUCGAGCUUUCUUGUACUGCUCAGGAUUGCUUGACUUGUCUGCAAUGGACCUGGCCUUCGCCUGUGAAUGUAUCUCAUGGUUCGUCCAUGGUUUCCAGUUGGGGAACACUCAAGUUGUCUUUGUCGGCACACACUCCUCUACACACUUGCAGAUGAAGUCCGUCAUGGUAGUGGUAUACUAAUUCAGGUUGCCUGCAGAAUCCCUGAAGAUGGAAUAGUCUACUGACUCAAAGCAGUUGCCUAGGAUGUCAUCUGUGUCCGCCGACAAGCAUUGAACAACU